rnacentral:misc_RNA from 1 species
UGUCCGUAGGUGAACCUGCGGAAGGAUCAUUAAAGAAUUUGCCCCGUCCUCUCGAGGAUGGGUCCUCUUCUAAACCGUGUAUACAUAACUUUGUUGCUUUGGCGGGCCGCCGGCUCGGCGUUGGCUUCGGCUGACGGUGCCCGCCAGAGAACCCCCACUCUUCUGUUUAGUAUUGUCUGAGUACUAUAUCAUAGUUAAAACUUUCAACAACGGAUCUCUUGGUUCUG